rnacentral:rRNA from 1 species
UCUGUAGGUGGUUUAAUAAGUCAACUGUUAAAUCUUGAGGCUCAACCUCAAAAUCGCAGUCGAAACUAUUAGACUAGAGUAUAGUAGGGGUAAAGGGAAUUUCUAGUGGAGCGGUGAAAUGCGUAGAUAUUGGAAGGAACACCGAUGGCGAAGGCACUUUACUGGGCUAUUACUAACACUCAGAGACGAAAGCUAGGGUAGCAAAUG